rnacentral:tRNA from 1 species
GCCGUCCGUGGGCCGGUGGUAGAGGUCGGGCAGGUCGAAGACGUGCCCGGUCUCGUGGGCCAGCACGUUCCGGUCCGGCGGGUGGCGC